rnacentral:lncRNA from 1 species
UAAAUACCAUUGGUCCUGGUUGCUCACAAUGCACCUCAACCCAGAAGCAACAACUUGCUGAGCAACACCACCACCAAGCCUGCAAGGGCAAAUGUAAGUUUGAUUUAUAAUCUUUACCUAUAUUUUAUCAUAUAUUACAAUUUAUGAGUAAUGAAUCAAAGUACAUAUGAAAAGAUGACUUGACAACAAACAAGCUUUUUAUUUAAUGACCAAUACUGAAACCAAGUGAAGAUGCAUCAUGACACGUAAUUAUGCCCAUAGCAUAAAUCAGCAAUGUCAAAGUAAUUAAAGGAGAAAAUACCAGUUGUGCACCACGGUUUUCCGGCUCAAUUUAUUUCCAAAACUAUUGAAGGUUUCUUCCCUGUUACAUUUAAUGAUUAGACAUGAUCUAAAACCAAGUAAUUAAUAUCUAGCUUUAUCCAUAAGGUACAUACCAGUUAACAAUUUCAUAUCCGUGGGACAAAGCUAUUUGCUGUGCCCGCAGGACAAAGUACUGAUAAGCUUCAGAUUCAUUCCUAUUAUGCUUUUUUAACCUGCAUAGUCAGGAUAGUUAAGAAUACUCCAAUAUCUGAAGGAUAAAAAUAUGAUACAUAAGGAAAAAAGUUCUCAUGCUCUUUUAAUAUCGAAAGAAUUUAAAUAUGAAAUGGAAUUUAAAAGAUGUGAUGUUAUGAAAUUAGUGAACUUAGAAAUGAGAUCUAAUUUAGCAAUAUUCUUAACGAAAAGAAGAAAUAAAAAAGUUAACUUUGACGAUCUACUUAGCCAAGUGACUCUUAUUGGAAGCUCAAGAGGCAUAAUAACCAUAAGAAGCCCUUUAAUGGUGGAAUAAGUGACAGUGGAGUUCAUUGUUUCAUCCCCAAAUGGAUAGACAAAAGUGUCUAAGCAUUAUAUCCAGGAUUAAGAAUUUCCCACUCUUUCCACAUAGUACUGAAUUGAGCCUAGGGCACAUGUCCUCUAAAACCGUUAACAAAACAUUCUUGUAUUCCGAAAAUAGUAACCAAAUCAAUAAACUAAAAAGGAACUGCAAGCCCAAUGACUAUCAGCACAAAGUACUUGGGACAGAAAUUAUUCCCUUUUCUAUACCCACUUUAACUCUCCAGGGUGAGGGAUAAUAAUGUGUUGAAUAACAGCAACAGAAAGCAGACUUCCUGCUAUCCAAAUUCCUCUAUAUAUUGGUUUCACUUUCUGAGUCAUGUUCUGUCACUUGAGGAUUCUUCUUGAUUAAUCUUCCUUUAUGAGGAAGGGGCCAAUGCACUCUAAGUUACGGAAAUGGACAGCUUUACUGAGAAUGCCUAUAAAUCAUGGUCCAAUAUAGUUGCAGUUUAAAUUACCAGACAAGGAAACAAUGAAUUUGUACUCCCUGCAUCUAUGUAAUUGUUAUAACACAUAAACAUUUGUUGACAGUAAUGAUAUGAAGCAACUUUGUCAUAAUACUAAAGCAUGGAUUACAACAAUAAAUUGUAUACCAGUUCAUUAUGUGAGGAGUUGAUGUCCAACAACCUGAAAUGGAUAAUGCAGUUGUACAAUUCAGUAAAUCAUCAAGUUUCAUAUGAAUUUAGAGAAUGGUGAUACACCGCAUUAUCUUUAACUAAAAAAUAUUUUAGUAGAAUGGAUGUUUCACAACUUUGAUUUAUGGGAACUGCCUAAUAUCUAUUCAACUCCACACUUCACUACUGUUUUUCUUGCCUGAUGCUACUCCUGCUUACAACUAUUUUGACCAUUUGAAAGGUUUAAUUACUUGACUGUUGCUUUUCCGCUUCCAAGUUAAUAUCAAUGAGAUUCAAAAACCCAAGAAUGUUAAGAAAAACACAAAAGCUUGCGAACUGUAAGAAAUUAAUGUGAUACUGAACCUUAAGAGAUAAUAAUUUCCACUUCCUACGAGAAGUCAAACUCAACUUAUAUAAGAAAAGCUGAUAAGUUUUUGUCCUGAAAAGGUAUGUUUGUGCAGCUAGCAUGCUACGAAAUCUACAUUUACUACUUGUUGCUAGCUGCAAAAUAAGUACUCAAUGCAAAUAUACAAUGAACUUUCAUCCACAAAAAUUUAGAAAGACAUUAUAAGGUUUGCAAUUAUAGAGAAUAUCACAUUAAACCUUAUAACAGAAAGAGAACAGAACAUUAGAAGUUAAGAACAAAAACAAUAGUGACGUCACAGACAAAUAAAGCUGACAGAUAAUAAUGAUAAGACUCAAACGUCGGUGUUAAACUUACUUGUGUCGACUUCAUCACCUCCCAAGUGAACAAAUUUAAAUUUAAAGAUCUUACUGAAAUCUGUAACAUGAAAAUCCAAUGACGUUACCUAUUAUUAUAAUUUUUUCAUUGAAUUAAGCACACUAAUUUACAAGAGAAAUUGUGUCAUCACUUCAUUUUUAUAUCAUCUUCAUCACAUGAUAACAUUACUUCCACCAUAAUUAUGACAGGAAGCAAGGCAUUACCUGAAAGGAUUCCAUCUAUCACUUUAAAUGUAAACUCAUUGCUGACAUCAAGUGGUUGCUGACAAUCCUUUGAUGGCCAUAAAGAAGGAUAGCCCUUUCC